GUCUACAGCCAUGCUACCCUGAACAAGCCCGAUCCCGUCUGAUCUUGGAAGCUAAGCAGGGUCGGGCCUGGUUAGUACUUGGAUGGGAGACCACCUAGGAAGACCAGGUGCUGUAGGUG
rnacentral:rRNA from 1 species